GCCUAAGGUUAGGAACAAACUGAACAUUGACGGAUCCAAUUAUCCAAGCCAUAAUCCGAGAGUCCUUGAUUUUCUAAGCGAGGUACUUCUCUUUAUCUUUCUCUUGAUCAGGAGGUGGGAGACUUCCAUCAAUAUGUCCCCAUAGAUCCCCUUUCCCUUCAACCAACAAUUGAAAGUGAAAUGCCCAUGAAGUGUAGUUCUUGCCGUUAGAGCGAAUGCACAUGGAAUCAAUUUUCUCAGUUGACAUGACGAAUAAUUUUUUUUAACUCUAUCAAAUAAAUUAAUCACGACUUAACAAAAUCAAUUCUCCUCAAAUAACUCGGCCCAAUCAACAACAGCCCAAAAGAAACUAAAUAAACUCAAUCAACCCAAGCCCAAUAGCUCAAGCCCAACACAGUAUACUGGAAGGAAAAAAAUCAAAACAACGAACCACUGGAAUUGAAGCACAACUCAUGACGCGAGCUUACCCACUGGAGAAGACGAGCCCCGAUCACACACCGACGAAAAUGGAGAAAAUCUGGUCACACCCAUAGAAGCGGUAAAAUUGAUUGUUCCGGCUAGUACCGGACUCAAGACCUACC
rnacentral:lncRNA from 1 species